AGUGAGAAUGCCGGAAUGAGUAGCGAGAAUUAUGUGAGAAUCAUAAUGGUCGAAAAUCUAAGGUUUCUUGAGGAAGGUUCGUCCGCUCAAGGUAAGCCGGGAGCUAAGGCGAGGCCGAGAGGCGUAGUCGAUGCACAUACGGUAAAGAUUCCGUAGCCACCGAAGUCGUUAAAUACAGGGACACAGGAACAUAGCCUAACCCCACCGUUGGUUGAGUGGGGCGUAAGGGAGCGAAAAUUAGUAGCGAAGUGGGUGAUUGUACACUGGCGAGAAAAGCUGUAUGAAUUGACAAGGUGCCCGUACCGCAAACCGACACAGGUAGAUGAGGAGAGAAUCCUAAGACCAGCGGGAGAAGUGUUGUUAAGGAACUCGGCAAAAUGACCCCGUAACUUCGGGAUAAGGGGAGCCUACGCGAGUAGGCCGCAGAGAAUAGUCUCAAGCGACUGUUUAGCAAAAACACAGGUCUAUGCUAAAUCGAAAGAUGAUGUAUAUGGGCUGACGCCUGCCCGGUGCUGGAAGGUUAAGGGGAAGUGUUAGAGCAAUCGAAGCACUGAACUUAAGCCCCAGUAAACGGCGGCCGUAACUAUAACGGUCCUAAGGUAGCGAAAUUCCUUGUCAGGUAAGUUCUGACCCGCACGAAUGGCGUAACGACUUGAGAGCUGUCUCAACAACAUACCCGGCGAAAUUGAAGUACUGGUAAAGAUGCCAGUUACCCGUGAUAAGACGGAAAGACCCCAUGGAGCUUUACUGUAACUUGAUAUUGAAUUUUUGUAUUACAUGUACAGGAUAGGUGGGAGACAGAGAACUAAUGCCGCCAGGUGUUAGGGAGUCGAUGUUGGGAUACCACUCUUGUAAUAUGAAGGUUCUAACCUGCACCCGUGAAUCCGGGUGGGGGACACUGUCAGGUGGACAGUUUGACUGGGGCGGUCGCCUCCUAAAAGGUAACGGAGGCGUUCAAAGGUUGGUUCAGCACGGACGGAAAUCGUGCAACGAGUGCAAACGCAUAAACCAGCCUAACUGCGAGACCGACAAGUCGAGCAGUAACGAAAGUUGGAGUUAGUGAUCCGGCGGUAUGAGAGUGGAAUUGCCGUCGCUCAACGGAUAAAAGCUACCCUGGGGAUAACAGGCUGAUCUCCCCCAAGAGUCCACAUCGACGGGGAGGUUUGGCACCUCGAUGUCGGCUCAUCGCAUCCUGGAGCUGUAGUCGGUUCCAAGGGUUGGGCUGUUCGCCCAUUAAAGCGGUACGCGAGCUGGGUUCAGAACGUCGCGAGACAGUUCGGUCCCUAUCUAUCACGGGCGUAGGAAAUUUGAGGAGAGCUGACCUUAGUACGAGAGGACCGGGUUGGACGUACCGCUGGUGCACCUGUUGUUCUGCCAAGGGCAUAGCAGGGUAGCUAAGUACGGACGGGAUAAACGCUGAAGGCAUCUAAGCGUGAAGCCCCCUUCGAGAUAAGAUUUCCCAUAGCGUAGGCUAGUAAGGACCCAUGAAGACUACAUGGUUGAUAGGCCGGAGGUGGAAGUGCAGUAAUGUAUGCAGCUGACCGGUACUAAUAGUCCGAGGGCUUGACCA
rnacentral:rRNA from 1 species